rnacentral:lncRNA from 1 species
GGCUGGAGCAGAAUUGGCGCAUCUUCAAGGAGGUUGAUCUUCCUAUGGAAAAAUUCCUCCAGCGCGUGAUUGAAUCCGUUUCUGUCUGGAACAUGUUCCGUGGUGUUUGUCUGAUGCAGUGAGAGUAGGCAUGUUUGGUUUUUUUCCUUUCUCUUUUUACUUCUAAUUUUUGGCUCAUCGAGCUAUUGUAUCUCUUUACCCUGUUUUUUUCCGUCCAUUAAUGAAAGGCACUCCCACCUGCCCAUUUCUAAAUAAAAAACAGUAGAAAAGAGAAAUAAUAAAAACCAUGAUAAUUCCGAGCACACAAGAUAAAACGUUUAUAUCCAUUUUAGGGAUUCCAUAAUUUUACAGGCAUACAGAUAUUUUAGUACUAGAUACAUUGCUGUGGUAGUUCAUUAUGUUUCUUUAGCCUGGCGACGUGAAAGAUCCAGAAAAAGACCGGCCUAGCGAACACCGUGCGUGAA